rnacentral:tRNA from 2 species
UGGGGCGUAGCCAAGUGGUAAGGCAGCGGGUUUUGAUCCCGUCAUUCGGUGGUUCGAAUCCAUCCGCCCCAGCCA